CAAUAGCGUAUAUUAAAGUUGUUGCAGUUAAAAAGCUCGUAGUUGGAUUUCUGGUGGGAGCGAUCGGUCUGGCGCUUAGCGCGAGUACUUGCAUCGUCUCCGGCCAUCCUUGGGGAGAGUCUGUCUGGCAUUAGGUUGUCGGGCAGAGGAUCUUCAUCGUUUACUGUGAAAAAAUUAGAGUGUUCAAAGCAGGCUUAUGCCGUUGAAUAUAUUAGCAUGGAAUAAUAAGAUAGGACCUUGGUACUAUUUUGUUGGUUUGCGCACCAAAGUAAUGAUUAAUAGGGACAGUUGGGGGUAUUCGUAUUCCGUUGUCAGAGGUGAAAUUCUUGGAUUUACGGAAGACGAACUACUGCGAAAGCAUUUACCAAGGAUGUUUUCAUUAA
rnacentral:rRNA from 1 species